rnacentral:lncRNA from 1 species
GUGUGCUCUUUGGCUGAGGGACUGGUGGGCGCUGGAAAUAUUAGAGGCGCCGGUGCCUGUGAUGUCGCCGCCUCUGUGACGUCCCCGCCGCGACCCCACAGGCAGGGAGCCGCAUUUAGGUUUCGGGCGGGCGGACGGGGGACGGCCCGAGUGAGGCGUCCUCCGAAGGCUGCGGGCCCGAAGCCAGAACUCCUUCCUCUCCGAAGACCUCGGGGGUGGGGCUCGCGCUUCCGCAGCGGGCCUAGAGCGAGAGGCAGGCGGCAGGGAGAGGCUGUCGAUGCUGAGGCACGAGAGAAUUUGCUCCUGCUCCUCCAGAGAAAAUGGCUGGGACAGGCUGUUGAGGAAUAAUUCUGCAGGGAAAAGUGGAAGAUGGCUGUGAAAGACUGGGAGGAGGCUGGCUGUGUUUUCAGGGGUUCUUCCUGCACAGUCGGUAGAAGCUGAGCUGCUGGGGAAGGGGCUGGAAGAAAGCCCACACCGCAGGUAUCAGUAGCAAAUUCAAAAACUACAGAAUCAGCUCCAGAGGACUUUGUUAACAAGAAAGAGAAGAUUGAAAACAGCCCUGGGGCUACACCAACUCAAGAGCUCCCAGGCAAAGUGGCAUCCUGGACCCACCAUCUCUCCUACCCCAUCCUCAGUCGGUACUUCCCCAGGCACCGUUUGUUCUGGCAUGGGGCUAGUUCAGCCCUGGGACCACCCUCAUCCUUAUAACUACCAGCUGUCUUUGGUGAGGUGCAAGAUCUCUCUGGUUUUCUUUAUUUCAUUUUCAUUCCUAUAAUCACAGCCUUUUUUGUGCCCAUCCCUCAGGUGACAUUCUAUUAUGUUUGAUGUGUCAUUUUUGAUUUGGUUGUGUCCUUGCAAAAUGUGCGUUGUUUUAUUUAUCAAUUUAUUUUUAUUUUUAUUUUUUUAAAGAGAUGAGGUCUCAUCAUGUUGCCCAGGCUGGACUCCAACUCCUGGGCUCAAGCGAUCCUUCCACCUCAAUCUUCUGAGUGGCUGGGACUACAGAUGUGCGCCACCAUACCUGGCUAUUGAUCAAUUUUUAGUUUACCAAACAGGCAUUAUGUUCUGGGUCCCAUUCUGUGUCGGGUUCUCUUUUCACUCGGCACCAUGGCUUUAGGAUCCAUCCAUGCUGCUCUGUGAACGCCGAGUUGCUUUAACUGCUUGGUGCUCCAUGAGGCAUCCCCUUUUGUGUCUCUGUCCUCCCAGUGAGGGACCCCAUCGUACCCUACUCCCCUCCCACAAAGGAAGCUGUAGUGCGCGUCCUCAGGCGUGUCCCCAUAUGGAUCUGCUGGCAUUCGUUUGUCAGUGCACCCAGGGGUAGAAGUCCUUGGUCUCAGUCUGCAGACGUCUGCCUGAGUGCAGCCAGGUGCCCCCCCAGAGUGGGUAGCCUUGUCCACAUGCCCAUCAGCAGCACCUGAGGGGUCCCAACAGCCCUACAUCCCACCAACUUUCUGCUUUUUUCCAGUCAAAUGGCUCUUGAGUGUUACCUGGCUUUAUUUAUUUAUUUAUUUUUUGAGUCGGGUCUCUGUUGCGCAGGCUGGAGUGCAGUGGUGCAAUCAUGGCUCACUGCAGCCUCGACCUUCCAGGCUCAAACAAUCCUCUCACCUCCUGAGUAGCUAGGACUACACGCAUGUGCCACCAUGCCUGGCUAAUUUUUAAAUUUUUUUGCAGAGAAAGGGUCUUGCUAUGUUGCCCAGGCUGAUCUUGAACUCCUGGCCUCAAGCGAUCCUCCUGCCCCAGCCUCCCAAAGUGCUGGGAUUACAGGUGUGAGCCACUGCUCCCGGCCUGUCUUUAUUUUGUAUUCUUGGAUUCCUAGUGAGUUUGAGCCCCCUCUAUACAUCAUAACCCUUAUGAUACUAGUAAACAUAUAUUUUAUCUUUAACCCCAUUUCUGGCACAGAACUCCUAAAAGCCUUACUCUCCAAAAUGAUCUCUUUCUGUGUACUAAUGGAUUGACUGAAGGCUGGCAGCCCCUAGGUAGCUUCAAGAUGGGGGCUGGUCAUCAGAGAGACAUAGGCAGGAUUAGAGGGUUGGGACUUUCAUCCCACCAUCCCACGUACUGGGAGGGAAGGGGGCUAAAGGUUAAGCGGUUCGCCAAUGGCCAGUGAUUUAUUCAAUCAUGCCUACGUAAUGAAGCCUACACAAAAACCCAAGAAGACCGGGUUCAGAGAACUUCUGGUAGCUGGGCACAUGGAGGUUCCUGGAGGGUGCCAAGCCCUGGAAGCUCUGUGCUCCCUCCCACAUGCCUUGCCCUAUGCAUCUCUUCAUUUGUAUCCUUUGUAAUAUCCUUUCUAAUAAAC